rnacentral:rRNA from 1 species
GAUGAACGCUGGCGGCGUGCCUAAUACAUGCAAGUAGAACGCUGAAGCUUGGUGCUUGCACCGAGCGGAUGAGUUGCGAACGGGUGAGUAACGCGUAGGUAACCUGCCUCUUAGCGGGGGAUAACUAUUGGAAACGAUAGCUAAUACCGCAUAAAAGUCGACAUCGCAUGAUGUUGACUUGAAAGGUGCAAUUGCAUCACUAAGAGAUGGACCUGCGUUGUAUUAGCUAGUUGGUGAGGUAACGGCUCACCAAGGCGACGAUACAUAGCCGACCUGAGAGGGUGAUCGGCCACACUGGGACUGAGACACGGCCCAGACUCCUACGGGAGGCAGCAGUAGGGAAUCUUCGGCAAUGGGGGCAACCCUGACCGAGCAACGCCGCGUGAGUGAAGAAGGUUUUCGGAUCGUAAAGCUCUGUUGUAAGAGAAGAACGAGUGUGAGAGUGGAAAGUUCACACUGUGACGGUAACUUACCAGAAAGGGACGGCGAACUACGU